rnacentral:lncRNA from 1 species
AUGCAACACUGGACAAGAUGCUAUGUGUGGAGCUCUGCACUGGAAGCUGCAGAUACAGCCAUGAGUGGAGGAUCGGGGUCUGGGUCUGUAAGCACUAAGAGCCUGAGCAGUGGGCCAGUGCUCCAAUGAAGCCAGAGGCCUCCUGGGUCCUGACACAGCUGGGGAUGGGAUUUGACAAAGGCCUGCAAACCGAAGCUGGACAACUUGAUAUAAAUCUGGAAGGACUCACCAUCACUGCAGACCAUGCAUGAGAAGGAAUGAUGUUCCUUGUGCCCAGGAAGCUAGGGAGACGUAUGAGAAGAAAGGAUGGCCUGUUAUGUGUAGUGACCUGAUGGAGACAGCCAUUCCACUCAGCCUCAUCCAAGGACAUGGGGACACAACAAGGGACCUCACGAGAUCGCUUUACAGACCAGUUGGUCCGGAGGCACAUUUCUUCUGCAGGGAUUGGCAAGGAAGAUUUCAGUCUUCAAGGUCUGUUGCUGGGCCUGGGCAAUGGAUGCGUU